rnacentral:lncRNA from 1 species
GGUAAUAUCGUUUAUCAGGUCAAGAUCUAUCUGCCCUGAAAUUUUCAGAUGAAUCAGACAACCCGUUGUUGGGUUGCUGCCCCUGAAUUGGUAAUUUUAAGGAAAUUUUGCUGUUUUUUGGUUAUUAUCUUGAAUAUUAUUAUAGAUAGAGAUAAACUGUAAACAGGAAUAAUGUUCAGCAAAGUAAGAUUUACAAAUAAGUCAACAUGACGGAAAUGGUCAGUUGACCCCUUUAGGAGUUAUUGCCCUUUAUAGUCAAUUUUUAACCAUUUUUCGUAAAUCUUAGUAAUCUUUUACAAAAAUCUUCUCCUCUGAAACUACUGGGCCAAAUACUUCCAAACUUUAAUUGAAUGUUCCUUAGGGUAUCUAGUUUGUAAAUUGUAUCCGAAGUUAUGAUCUAUCAACAAACAUGGUCGCCAUUGCUAAAAAUAGAACAUAGGGGUCAAAAUGCAGUUUUUGGCUUAUAACUCAAAAACCAAAGCAUUUAGAGCAAAUCUGACAUGGGGGUAAUAUUGUUUAUCAGGUCAAGAUCUAUCUGCCCUGAAAUUUUCAGAUGAAUC